GCAUUGGUGGUUCAUGGUGAAUUCUUGCCUUCCAUGCUAGAGACCCAGGCUUGAUUCCUGGCCAAUGCA
rnacentral:tRNA from 1 species